rnacentral:rRNA from 1 species
GUGAUACGCGUAAAGAACUGCCUUACAGACCUGGGACAACAUUGGGAAACGAAUGCUAAUACCGGAUAUUAUGACUGAGUCGCAUGAUUUUGGNUUAUGAAAGCUAUAUGCGCUGGUGAGAGAGCUNUUGCGUCCCAUUAGUUAAUUGGUGAGGUAACGGCUCACCAAGACGAUGAUGGGUACCGGCCUGAGAGGGUGAACGGCCACAAGGGGACUGAGACACGGCCCUUACUCCUACGGGAGGCAGCAUGGGGAAUAUUGGACAAUGGACCAAAAGUCUGAUCCAGCAAUUCUGUGUGCACGAUGAAGUUUUUCGGAAUGUAAAGUGCUUUCAGUUGGGAAGAAGUCAGUGACGGUACCAACAGAAGAAGCGACGGCUAAAUACGUGCCAGCAGCCGCGGUAAUACGUAUGUCGCAAGCGUUAUCCGGAUUUAUUGGGCGUAAAGCGCGUCUAGGCGGUUUAGUAAGUCUGAUGUGAAAAUGCGGGGCUCAACCCCGUAUUGCGUUGGAAACUGCUAAACUAGAGUACUGGAGAGGUAGGCGGAACUACAAGUGUAGAGGUGAAAUUCGUAGAUAUUUGUAGGAAUGCCGAUGGGGAAGCCAGCCUACUGGACAGAUACUGACGCUAAAGCGCGAAAGCGUGGGUAGCAAACAGGAUUAGAUACCCUGGUAGUCCACGCCGUAAACGAUGAUUACUAGGUGUUGGGGGUCGAACCUCAGCGCCCAAGCUAACGCGAUAAGUAAUCCGCCUGGGGAGUACGUACGCAAGUAUG